GGGUGACAGGUGGUGCAUGGUUGUCGUCAGCUCGUGUCGUGAGACUUGGGUUAAGUCCCGCAACGAGCGCAACCCUCGACCUUAGUUGCCAGCAUUCAGUUGGGCACUCUAAGGUGACUGCCGGCUAAAAGUCGGAGGAAGGUGGGGAUGACGUCAAAUCAUCAUGCCCCUUAUGACCUGGGCUACACACGUGCUACAAUGGGCGGUACAAAGGGUCGCGAACCCGCGAGGGGGAGCCAAUCCCAAAAAGCCGCUCUCAGUUCGGAUUGCAGGCUGCAACUCGCCUGCAUGAAGCCGGAAUCGCUAGUAAUCGCGGAUCAGCAUGCCGCGGUGAAUACGUUCCCGGGCCUU
rnacentral:rRNA from 1 species